GGCCGAUUAGCUAGUUGGCGGGGUAACGGCCCACCAAGGCGAAGAUCGGAAGCCGGCCUGAGAGGGCACACGGCCACACUGGCACUGAAACACGGGCCAGACUCCUACGGGAGGCAGCAGUGGGGAAUCUUGCACAAUGGAGGAAACUCUGAUGCAGCGACGCCGCGUGAGCGAUGAAGCCCUUCGGGGUGCUAAAGCUCUUUCGACGGGAACGAUAAUGACGGUACCCGAAGAAGAAGCUGCGGCUAACUACGUGCCAGCAGCCGCGGUAAUACGUAGGCAGCGAGCGUUGUUCGGAAUUACUGGGCGUAAAGAGUGUGUAGGCGGUGUUCUAUAAGUCUGUUGUGAAAUCUCCCGGCUUAACUGGGAGGGUGCGGCGGAGACUGGAAUGCUAGAGUAUGGGAGAGGUAAGCGGAAUUCCUGGUGUAGCGGUGAAAUGCGUAGAUAUCAGGAGGAACACCUGUGGUGUAGACAGCAUCACUGGACCAUGACUGACGCUGAGACACGAAAGCGUGGGUAGCA
rnacentral:rRNA from 1 species